UGCUUAAAGGCGCAUCUUGGCGGGCGGGAAACUGCUCGCCAGGAAAUGCACGCCGGUAACGGGAACGCGGUGCGAGCGGAUAUCCGCUCAAUUCCGGGGCUGUCCCUGCAACUGUAAGCGGCGAGCGUUCGGCUUCUAGUGCCUCCUUUUGGGAAGGCGCGGCCACUGGGCUUCACGCCCGGGAAGGCGAAACCGGCGCGAUGACCCGCAAGCCAGGAGACCGACCGCGCGUGUGUCGCUCUU
rnacentral:ncRNA from 2 species